ensembl:snRNA U2 U2 spliceosomal RNA
AUCGCUUCUCAGCCUUUUGGCUAAGAUCAAGUGUGAAUGAAGAUCUCAAAUUUUCCUUUUGAAUCAAUCUUAAAAAUUAUAUAAGCAGCCCUGGCUGGAAAUUUUGAACCUCCAUACUAAACCUUCAAGGAGAAAGCCAGA